CAUUUUUUUUCUAUGCUUCAUAUGUUGUUCUGGUUUAUUUAUUGCUCAUUGUUGGUAGUACUUGGUAUUAAUUGCCAUGAUUUCUCUAUAUUUUUAUUAUAGGGGGAUUAAGAUUGAUGCCCUAAAUUCUACCAUACUUGGUGUUCUUUGCUCACGAGGUUCAAUCUAGAAAAAUAGAUAUUUUACUUUUUGAAAUUUUAUUUUUCCUUAGACAUAGGGUUUUGUUGCUUCUGCAUCAUUAAGCAGGUGGGUCUUUUGCUUUCAAUGUCCUUUUAUCAUCUUUAUCAUAAUUUUUCCCCAUUAUAUGGAUUAUGAGAGUGAUCAGAUCUUGCAAAGAAAAAAUUGGUGACUUAAAGGUUUACAGGUUCAAAAUUGCUAUCAUUUUGUCUUAUGGUUAAAAGGGACAAAUGUUUCCAACAAUUGCCAGUUAAAUAAGUAAAAAGAAUGGCACCUUCAAGUAUAAUUGAAGAAGAAAUAGACGAAGCAAUUAUAAAACAAAACAUGUAAAAAUCAAUCACUACAAGAAAAUGUAAUCAAUUACUAAAGAAAUGCUUAAAGCUUGUGGGAUAUUACUUCUUGUUCAUUAAUAUAUAGAUACCUGGAGUAGGAUUUAAUAUCAAUGCUUUAAAUAUUAUAUGAGAGACAUUUAUAUAUAGGUACUUGAGUCUUCUGUUUGUAAAUUACUUUUCUCGACGAGAUUUUGUAAGGAAUGAAUCGUUAGAUUGGGCUGAUGUUCUCAAAGGAUGGUGCUUUUAGCUAUUGUGAUAUUAUGUUAGCUCUUCUAUUCAUUAUGUUUAGAAUCACAUUUAGCUUCUACGAUAUUAUGUUAGCUGUUCGAUUGAUUACAAUUCAGAACUGCUUUUAGCUAUUGCGGUAUUUGGUUAGCGCUUCUAUUCAUUAGUUUGCGAUAACUAUAAAUUGAACGCAAUACUUUUAGCUUCUAAGAUGUGACCUGCAAUUGCAAAGUUACUACCCAUUUUUGUUUUCUUUCCCCUCAGCUUCAAAAUCUAUUGUUCAACUCCAAAUUUAAAGACAUGUAUACAACCUAGGAGAAUAGGAAGCAAACUUAUUAGUUUGAUGAGCCAAAGGGAUUAAAAUACCCUUAUUUUUCAAUUUAAUGACAAAGAGCAGACAUACUAAAUUAUUUAAAUGUGUUCUGUGGCUUUAUCUUCAACCUCCUUCAUCUCUGUAAUUGGUCUGUGUAUUUUUUUCCCAUACAAAUGCUACUAUAUCUACUCAACAUUUUUUAUCUUAUAUUUUUCUAAUGCUAACUUCGUGCCUUGUUUACCUCAUGUAACAGGGACCAAUGUUCUUGUCGAAGAUAAAACGAAAAGACACCCUAACUAACCUUCAGCUUAAUAAAUUGUUGUUAAUAUCUAAAUAGAAUGUACAUAGCUAUCUAGUAACUCUCUGAAUCCAAAUUUAAACACAUUGUUUAUUUUUCACUAACUUUAGUAUUAUUGUUUUUCAAAUAAACACACCUCUAGUAUUAUUCAUAUGAGCAUAACUCUUUACUUUCUCCUUGCAGUCUAUAGUAUAGUUCGUAUACUAACAACACCUUUUGCAUUUUAGUGCAAGAAUUGCAGUGAAGGUCAAAAUAGUGGAGAAAGCUUGAAAUGAAAAAUCCUUUGCUCACACCCUAUAAAAUGGGUAACUUUCAACUUUCUCAUAGAGUUGUGUUGGCACCAUUAACAAGGACAAGAUCAUAUGGCAAUGUUCCUCAACCACAUGCUAUCCUCUAUUACUCGCAACGAACCACAAUAGGCAGUUUUCUUAUUUCAGAAGCUACAGGAGUUUCUGACACUGCCUAUGGGUACAAAGAUACACCUGGUAUAUGGAGGAAAGAUCAAAUUGAGGCCUGGAAACCAAUUGUAAGUGCUGUCCAUGACAAAGGAGGAAUCUUUUUUUGCCAACUUUGGCAUACAGGGAGGAUAUCUACCAAAGAUUUCCAGCCCAAUGGACAAGUUCCUAUCUCCAGCACAGACAAGCCAGUGAAAACUCACACUCCACCACGACGGCUGAGCACAAACGAAAUUCCUCAAAUUGUUAAUGAUUUCCGGAUUGCUGCUAGAAAUGCCAUUGAAGCUGGAUUUGAUGGGGUUGAGAUCCAUGGAGCUCAUGGCUAUCUAAUUGACCAGUUUAUGAAAGACCAAGUCAAUGAUCGAACUGACCAAUAUGGAGGGUCCUUAGAGAACCGUUGUAGAUUUGCACUCGAAAUAGUUGAAGCAGUUGUAAAUGAGAUAGGAGCUGACAGAGUUGGAAUAAGGCUUUCCCCAUAUGCUAACUACAUGGAUUCUGGAGACUCAAAUCCAAGUGCUUUGGGACUUUACAUGGCUGAAUCCUUGAAUAAAUAUAGCAUUGCAUAUUGCCACAUGGUUGAGCCAAGAAUGAAAACACUUGGGGAAAAAGUUGAAUGUCCUGAAAGCCUUGUACCCAUGAGGAAGGCAUUUAGAGGUACUUUUAUUGUAGCUGGUGGUUACGAUAGAGAAGAUGGAAACAAAGUUGUGGAUGAAGGCCGAGCUGAUCUUGUUGCAUAUGGACGUUUGUUUAUAGCCAAUCCGGAUUUACCCAAGAGAUUUGAGCUUGAUGCACCUCUCAACAAGGGACUGAAGAAGCAAAGAGAAAUGGCAGCUGCAGCUAAGAAGGAAGAGAAGAAGACGUAUAACUAGCCUGCCGAGUAUGACACGCCUUUAAGUAUGCUGACAAUAUUGUGAAGAUUGAAAAGGAUGGUUAUCAUGGUGGAGGAAUAUCAAUGCUGCAAUGGUGACCUGGACAGAAUUGGAGCCCGAGUACUUGACCAAUUCUUCUGAAGAACGAACUUCUCAUAGUGUGUUAGGAGAAAAAAACCCACAACAUAUUAUGGUUGAUCUAACCUUGGGGUUGUUGUUACAACAAACUAUGGGGGUUCCUAACCCCCCCCCCCCCCCCCAUAGUAUGUAAAAAUAAAUCCCGGCUAUUUAGGCUUUUUUGUGAUGGAGUUCUGUGCUAUCUAUCUUAUUGGAGCAUUUGCUAAAUCUGCACCCUUCUCUCCUCUACUACAAGCAUCAGCUAAAAUUUGUUGAAUCUGUAAUAUGCUUACUAGAUAUCUAGUGAUACACGAUUAUUUUGAUUGACAUCUCGUCCAACAAGGCCUACUGUGUGUUUCUCAUGUUUCUUCUUGAGAUCCGCUGGUUGAUCUUUUUCUCACCAAGCCGCUUCUAAAAGCUCCAUUUCGAAGCACUAAGGUCCAAGAUUGGUAUGUCAGACUGAUCUUCCAUCUUAAGGGGUAUAUUAGUGAUAUCUCUUGAUUGAUAUCUCAUUAGCUUUCCUUUGUUUAACAGUAUUUACCAGAAAAUAUAUAUAUAUGUAAUUGUAGAAGGGUAGAUCUAUGUUUUAAGGCUUAAAAAUUUAAUUGUGUUUGGAUUGGAUCUCUUUAUCUUUAA